rnacentral:rRNA from 1 species
UACAGAGGCCUCGAGCGUUAGGCGGAAUCACUGGGCUUAAAGCGUGUGUAGGUGGAUGCCUAAGUACCUUGUGAAAUCCCACAGCUUAACUGUGGAACUGCUUGGUAUACUGGGUGUCUUGAGCCACUCAGGGGCUACCGGAACAAGCGGUGGAGCGGUGAAAUGCGUAGACAUCGCUUGGAACGCCAAUGGUGAAACAGGUAGCUGGGGUGUGCUGACACUGAGACACGAAAGCCAGGGGAGCAAACGGG